rnacentral:rRNA from 1 species
UACGUAGGGACCAAGCGUUGUUCGGAUUUACUGGGCGUAAAGGGCGCGUAGGCGGCGUGUUAAGUCAGCUGUGAAAUCUCCAAGCUUAACUUGGAACGGUCAGCUGAUACUGAUGUGCUAGAGUGCAGAAGGGGCAAUCGGAAUUCUUGGUGUAGCGGUGAAAUGCGUAGAUAUUGGGAGGAACACCAGUGGCGAAGGCGGCUCACUGGACCGGAACUGACGCUGGAGGCGCGAAAGCGGUGGGGAGCGAACAGG